rnacentral:rRNA from 1 species
ACGGGGGGAGCAAGCGUUGUUCGGAAUCACUGGGCGUAAAGGGCGUGUAGGCGGUCAGGUAAGUGAGAUGUGAAAUGCCUCGGCUCACCCGAGGACCGGCAUCUCAUACUGCUUGGCUUGAGUACGGGAGAGGACGUGGGAAUUCCUGGUGUAGCGGUGAAAUGCGUAGAUAUCAGGAGGAACACCUGCGGUGUAGACGGCUUACUGGACCAUAACUGACGCUGAGGCACGAAAGCGUGGGUAGCAAACAGGA